GACGAACGCUGGCGGCGUGCCUAAUACAUGCAAGUCGAACGCUGAAGGAGGAGCUUGCUCUUCUGGAUGAGUUGCGAACGGGUGAGUAACGCGUAGGUAACCUGCCUGGUAGCGGGGGAUAACUAUUGGAAACGAUAGCUAAUACCGCAUAAUAGUAGAUGUUGCAUGAUAUUUACUUAAAAGGUGCAAUUGCACCACUACCAGAUGGACCUGCGUUGUAUUAGCUAGUUGGUGGGGUAACGGCUCACCAAGGCGACGAUACAUAGCCGACCUGAGAGGGUGAUCGGCCACACUGGGACUGAGACACGGCCCAGACUCCUACGGGAGGCAGCAGUAGGGAAUCUUCGGCAAUGGACGAAAGUCUGACCGAGCAACGCCGCGUGAGUGAAGAAGGUUUUCGGAUCGUAAAGCUCUGUUGUAAGAGAAGAACGAGUGCGAGAGUGGAAAGUUCACACUGUGACGGUAGCUUACCAGAAAGGGACGGCUAACUACGUG
rnacentral:rRNA from 1 species